rnacentral:rRNA from 1 species
UACAGAGACCUCAAGCGUUAUCCGGAUUUAUUGGGCGUAAAGCGUCCGCAGGUGGUCCACUCAGUCAUUGGUCAAAUCCCGGGGCUCAACCCCGGAACUGCCGAUGAUACUGGUGGACUUGAGACCGGGCAGAGGCAAGCGGAAUUACAGGUGUAGCGGUAAAAAUGCGUUUAUAUCUGUAAGAACACCAAAGGCGAAAGCAGCUUGCUGGAACGGUUCUGGACACUCAUGGACGAAAGCGUGGGGAGCGAA